AAUAAAAUGGCUGAGGUUAAGCGAUAAAUUGUAAAUUUAUUUACGAGAAUUUUCUCUUUUAUU
rnacentral:tRNA from 1 species